UACCUCUGAUUUGCGGAAGAGGCUGAAAAACUCGCAGAUUGUGUGUUGUCAUCAGCUUUGUCUCUUGGUCCUAUGAGAUGGGAGUUAAAUAACGACACCAGAUUC
rfam:Triticum urartu cultivar G1812 contig315090, whole genome shotgun sequence.